UCUUGGUUACAUCGAGUGGGUCAAAGUUAAAUCUGUCCUCAUGAUCAGGGUCUAUGAUCUGGAUAAAAAGCUUCCACUCAGGAUAAUUGCCGGCCGCAAUCGAGUCAUAGAGAUCUUGGGUCGCAUGACUGUGAUUAGAACCUCCAACCUUGAUGGCUUCUUCCUCUAACAAACACUUGACUCCGCAGGUAGGUUUCCAAUGAAACUUCACAUAGUGUGCUUUCCCAUCCUUGUUAAUAAGAGUGUAAGUGUUAACCCCAGAGCCAUCCAUGUGCCUAUAAUCUUGUGGAACACCCAGGUCAUCAAAAAGAAAUGUGAACAUGUGCAAACUCUCUGGAUGGUGGGAGAAGAAGUCCAUGAUUCUCCAGUUCUCUUGAAUGUGAGACUUCGGGUUGGGUUUAAGAGCAUGGACCAUGUCUGGGAAUUUCAUUCCAUCACGCACAAAGAAGACAGGGAAAUUGUUUCCCACCAGAUCAAAGUUACCCUGAAUACACGAGAAAUGUCACAAAUAUGAACAAGAAAGGAUGAACUUCAAAAAGGCACUAAUUCCAAAAAAAGAAAACAAAAAAGGAAAAACAGACACAAUCAGUGAUUAUUUCUAGGCACUAUUUCUAGGACUACGAAUUAGUGACCACAAAUACGUCAUCAGAGAUGAAAAAGGUGAGAUCUUGCAUAUCAAUAGAGUUACCACAGUCAAACAGAAUUCCAGUCAAAAGUGAUCAGUAUGUUUUAAUAAAUGGAGCACUGUUUUCAAUGUCCAAAGUACUCCCUCUGUUCCUAAAAGAUUGUCGUUUUAGAAGAAAAAAUUUGUUCAAAAAGUUUGUCGUUUACAACUUUCGAGGAGAAUAAAUUAUUUAUUUUCCUAUAUUACCCCUACCUUUUCUCAUUGUCCCAAGAAAUUAUCUCUCUUGUAUUAAUAGUUUUCAACUUCCCAUAAAGGGGUAGUGAUGGAAUUUCAAACAAAUUUUACUUGGUAAAUGAUACUUUCUUAAUCCAUGUGCCAAAACCUUAAACGACAAUCUUUUAGGAACAGAGGGAGUACUUCACAAGAAUCACAACGAUAAAAGAAUUUUAUCACUCUCACCUCUCUGGUGUAGAACUUCACUGCAAAACCCCGGGGGUCCCUAAGGGUCUCAGGACUUCCACGCUCGUGGAUAACAGUGGAGAAGCGGACAAUUACAGGUGUCUGGACACCAGGGGCCCGAAGAAAAUCAGCACAUGUAAGAUGAGUAAUAUCAUGGGUGACCUCAAAGAAACCCUUGGCACUAGCGCCCCUUGCAUGGACAACUCGUUCAGGGAUACGCUCCCUAUCAAAAUUAGCAAUUUUCUCCACCAACUGAUAAUCCUCGAGGAGGAUUGGGCCUGUCAAACAGAAAAUGAGGUCAUAUAACUGGACCCACGCACUUUAAACAUUAUCAAUUUAUGCAAACAAUUCUACUGCUAGGCAUUGAAAUUAGUAAUAUGAGCGCGUCAUUAUUUGAUAUAAAGCAAUUUCGGCCAGUAAUAUGAUCUGGCAUAUACAUGUGUCAGGGGUUUAUACGUUUAAUAAUUAGAUACCAUAGGAGGCAGAAGCAAAUAAAAAGUAUCUUGUAUACCAUUUAAGAAUGUAAAUUUCUACGAAUUUAUUUAAGAGUAAAUUGUUUACUGGCUGUGAUUCUACUUUUCAAGUUUCACGAACAUAUUUGUAUUGUAGUUUAAAGAAAACAAAAGGCACACUACAAAGAAAAUAGGGGAAGGAAGAAUAAAGUACAAAACCCCACAAGCAAGAUUUCCUUAAAAUAUACUCGUUUUAACGAACAAUCAUCAUGGACCAAAAGUGGUAAACUCCUAAGGUGAAGAUAUACGAUACCGAGGAACAAAGCCAUAUGCUAAUUUCAAAAUUCAUGUAAGUCGUUAAUCUAUUCAUAAUGCACAUAUCUACAUCCUAAAGGCAAAACCAUGCAAAUUCACAUAUGUAAACUAGAGAAAACAAUGUGAGGCAUCUAAGCUAGAUGAAACCACUCAAUUACAAACACAAAUAAAUAAACAAUAAAAACUAACUAUCCACAAAGUACGAAAACUUUGCACAGCCACACCAAUAUAAGGAUAAAAAUCUUCCAGUAUCAUGUUCUGUCAAACUAAAUCACCACAAAUUAGCUACUCACUUUUGUCAUGUUUCAUCAGUUCAUCAAACGGUAAAAUUAUAAUCCAAACAUGAACCUUUUUACCGCCUAGAUUACGAAUUAUAAGGAUCGCCAAAAUGUCAAUACCAACAUCCAUCACAUUUUGAUACUGCUCAACUACAAGUACUAACAAUAAUAAGAUGAUCCACAAAAAGAAAACAGUAAAUAUGAUGUAAUAAGAUAUCUCGUGCCAUGAAUACAAAACGCCACUAAUAGCAUAUAACUAAAACAAAGUUCUAACUAUUUAGAAAUCCUUGUUAUCAACUUUUAAUAAAGACCACAAAAAAUUGUAACCUAUACAUGCUUAGGACUAAUUCAAAAAGAUCGAACCCAAUUGUAAUCCUCUCUUUAUUUUAUUCUUCGUUAGAUUAUUUGACUGGAUCUCGUCAGGUCCAGUAGAGAAGCCCAAGCCAAGAUUAAAGCCUUAUACUGCUCACAUUUCCAGCCCACAGACCAAGCCAGGGAACAUUAUUUCAUACUUUCAAUGUAAUAAUAACCCCCGUACAAGCCAGCUACUUUGAUGUUAAUUAAGUUGGAUUUAAUAUUUGUGGCCAUUAAUUUGGACAACGCUAGAGUUCAAUACUCAUUGUACCCUUGCCUCUUUUCUUUCUUUUUUCCCUUUUUUUUGGGCAAUAUUUUUUGUUGUUGGCUAAAUAAGAAAAAAAAUAGUUAAUUAAAUUGUAGCACAUUUAAUCCAUGAAUGUGUGUGAGAGAGAAAACACAAAUUCAUCUCUUAUUAUUGAUUCACAAAAGUAAUUAAGAAGCAAAGAUGGUGAAUAUUGAAUUAACAUUGAGAAGACUAGACAAAUUACUAGACAUUAAGAAACAUAUUAAGUUCAAGAAACUACAUAAAAACCAUGCAUUAAAACAAACGGAAGUGGUCUUAUUACAUAUUUUGAGUUUAUUUAUUUAUUUAUUUUGCAUUUUUGCCUUUUCUUUUCUUUUUGACGGAUCAAUUCCCGUAAAAAUAAAAUAAAAAUUGAUACUUUAAUUAAUUAAUUCCCCACAAAUUAGUAAUAUCCCAAAGUAAUGAAAUGAAACAUGAGUAUGUACAUAUAUAGCUAGUGGCUAGUGGAGUACUUUGUCUAGGCAAUAGGCCUUGAGCAAUGGAGGGAAAAAAGGAUUAAACAGGAACGCCUUUGACCAGCAAUUCCUGUCAACGGUGAGGAAUGCUUUGCAACAUUUGUUGGUGAGCAAUCCAGGUUGAGCACUCAAGAAGGCGUUAAGAACUUGAUGGGGGCACCCUAAUUGGAUACCUCCAAGAGCUUCAAGGCAUGGGUUACUCUCAAAAUCCGGCAAUGCAAAACUCAUUGCUAAGAAACACGCUAGGACCAACGCAACCAGUUGCUGCUUGAAAAUGACCAUGUUAGCAGCUUGAGAGUACAUGAUAAUAUUUAAUUUGGUUGAUAUAUAUUGCUUAAGUGGUAAUUAUUUUGCUGCUGCUGCCUCUGCUAUAACUUUGUUAUAUAGAUAGAUAGAUCUAGGUGUACGUGGUUGUGAGGGAUUUUACUGGUUAUGGUUAUGGUUAUGGUAAUGGUAUUUAUAAGGUAAUUAAAGAUGUAAAUGCCUUUGAAACUGUUGCUCGGUCGUUUUAUUCUUAAUUUAUUAAUCCACCAUUUUAAUUAAGGGUUUUUAUUGUGCAGUUUUUAAGCAACACAAUAUAUCAAUGGUCAUUGACUCAUUGAUGACUGAAAUAUAUCAACUUAUUAACUGCAGUUUAUGAGACUUAAUUGGUUAAUUAACGGAUUUAAUUGGUGAACAGGCUAGCUCAAAUUAAUGCGUAUAUUAUAUCAACUGCAGAACACUCUAACCAAACCCAUUUAUAAUAAAAAUGAUGUUAUCAAGUGCAAUAAUUUUAUCUAUCAACUGAUGUUUAAAAUUAUAUAAAUUUAUAUUAAAAAUGUUAAAAUAACUAAUUUACCCUCAAUAGUAUGGUCCACUAGUAUAAGGGAAAAACACUCAUUAUAUUUAUGUUGGGUAGAUGGUAUGAGUAAGCAUCCGAGCUUAUUUAUUCUUGUAAAUUGAUAAAUCCACAAAACACAUGAAAACCGUCGCUAUAGAUCCUAUAGCGACAGUUGUCACCGACAUUAUACAUCCAUAGUAACACUUUUCAUGUGGAAAUAUCAAUUUCCUUUAUUCUUUUUCUAUAACUUUAAUUUUCUUAAUAUGCCUUAAAAAUGUCAUUUCUAAACAUUCUUUUUUUAGGAUGCAGUAGUAAUUAAAAAAUAUAAAAGAAAAAGGAAAUUAAGAGUAAAAUGUAAAAGUAUCCCCCAAUAGUUUAUUCCUCAAUUGCAUAAUUAGGAAAGCAGAUCAUGUGAACGUCAACUUUCUUGUUUGGCUUUCAGCUUAAUGAAGAUCUGGAACUAUUAAUUGUUGCAGUUGUGUCAUUUGUAGAACAAUUAAUUGGUUUCCCACCCAGUAAUAACUUAUAGGAGGAGAUACACUUUUUCUCACUCUACUCGACCUCGGUUUACAAAUACAUUAUUGGACUGAAUUUUUUUUCAUUGACUCACUGAACUACAAUUUUUUUAUAAACCGUUACAAAUUCUGUUAAAUUGUUUGAUUUUGGACGGAAAAAUUACAUAAACUGCCACGUGAGAGAGAGAAAACUUACAUGUCAGACAUUUUUCUUUUGUUGCAUGCCGAGAUGGAAAGUUGUAUAAAUUUAAUGCUAAAUUAAUCAAAAUCAAAUAAAUAAAAUAAAUAAUCCAUUCAAAAUUAAAAACAAUAAAAAAAAAAUUAAAUCAUUAAUAUUUGUUUGGUAUGUUAAAACUUUGGUAGCAUACAAAAAAAAAGUAGUAUAUUAAUAUCUUUUUUCAAUAUGGUACAAUUUUAAACAAAUUAUAUAAAUUACACAUAAAUAUGUAAAUUUUUUUGUUUUUAAAUAACCCAUUAAAUUAAACAAAACUACUAAAGUAAUUAAACAAUUUUUUUGAGAAAAAAAGUAAUUAAACAGUUAAACUCCUAAAACAACUAAAUCAAUUAAAAAUUAAACAAAUAAACAAAACACUAGGGGAAAACACCAAACCCAGAAUCAAAAAGUACCCCGCCUCACCACCAUACCACCGCCACUUGUUCCCCGCCUCACCACCAUGAAGACCGCAAAUUUUUCCGACAGAUCUUCUUCGUCUUGUUUAUAUUUCCCUUAUUUUUCUUUUCCAUUUCUCAACUUCGCACAGAUCUCUCUCAUUUUUCUUUCAACUUUAAAGAUUAAAAAUUUCAGUCUUCCAUAUUUCUCUCUCUCUCUCUCUCUCUCUCUCUCUCUCUCUCUCUAUAUAUAUAUAUAUAUAUAUAUAUAUAUAUAUAUAUAUAUUCUGAAAGUGUAUUACAUUCACGAUUCCAGGCAUUAAAUGAAUCCAUUUACUUGCAAAUUUUGCAGAUCUAAAAAUAAUGAAAGAAGAACCUUCUUCACUCCAGAUCUAGCAUUGAUUUGUAUUUCAUCUCCCUUAUGAAGGCAGGUUGUUUGAAUUUCUUUCCUAUUUCCUUACUUUAGUAAAUGUUGUGGUGUAGAAUUUUGGGUUAUUGACUGUGGUGGUUAUAGAUGAUGACGGUGGUUAUGGCUAAUGGUGGAGCUUCUGUGGUGGUUAUGAAAGUUGGAAUUGAUUAAUCUUCGCGUCAAUCGGAUUGGAUCGUAAAGGCAGUAAUCUAUUUUUGAUUUGUUUGCUUAUUUUAAGAAUCUGAAAAUUAAAUAUUUUAGUCUAAUAAUUAGUACAUGUUUGGGUCUGGUUAGAAAUAAUUUUAGACAAAAUUAAAGAUGAUGGCGCCGAACUGAGAAAACGCAUCAAGAUCUAGAGAUUAAUCGAUGGUGGAGAUUGAACAGCGAAAGAGGAGGUGGUACCGGAGGUAGAAAAGGGUAUAGGUGUGGUGGUGGUGACGCUGGUGGAAGUGGUGAUGGAGGACUCUUUGAGGAAGAUGAACUGAUGAAGUUUUUAUUUUUUUUUCUUUCUUUUAUCUAGAGAAAGUAAUAGGUAAUAAUAAUAAUAAUAAUAAUAAUAAUAAUAAUAAUAAUAAUAAUAAUAAUAAUAAUAAUAAUAAUAAUCCCUCCAUUUUCAAAAUAUUAGAUAAUUUUAUAUUUUUAAAAUGAAAUUAAAAUAUUUAAAAAAUAAAAAAUACGAAUUCAUUAAUUUUAUAUAAAUACAUUUGUAAACAUUAUUCAUUAAUUUAUUUUAUUAUUAAUUAAUUUAAUGUCAUGUAUAUUAAUUUGAUUUAUAUUUUCUUAAACUAUUUGUUAUAGAAUUGAGUAUAAUUUAAUUUAAUUAUUUAUCCAACUCAGCUUCUCUCUCCUCGUCAGCACGUGACACAUAGAUUUGUCGUUAAAAUUUUAAUAGACUAGAAGGUUUUUCGAAAUUUUGUAAAAAAAUUAUAGUUCAAUGAGUUGACCGUAAAAAAAUUCAGCUUAAUGAUGCAUUUGUAAACCGAGGUAGAGUAGAGUGGGUAAAAAUGUAUUUAACCCCUUAUAGGAGUUGAAUUCGCACUCAGCCAAGUUGUUGUGGAGAUUCAAAUGGUAGGAUAUGAUGAGGAGCUACAUAUAUUAUAAACAUACUACUCCCUCCUAUAGCUUAUAUCAAGGAAACAACACUUAAAAGAAGAAAAACACAUGCCAACAAACUCAAUCGGAAGCCAUAACCGGUUUCAUUAGGGUCGUGGCCCGUGAUGUGCAUCUCAUGCAGAUGUUUCCCUGCACUGUGAAUUAGCUACUCACUUUUGUCAUGUUUCAUCAGUUCAUCAAACGGUAAAAUUAUAAUCCAAACAUGAACCUUUUUACCGCCUAGAUUAUGAAUUAUAAGGAUCGCCAAAAUGUCAAUACCAACAUCCAACACAUUUUGAUACUGCUUAACUACAAGCACUAACAAUAAUAAGAUGAUCCACAAAAAGAAAACAACAAAUAUGAUGUAAUAAGAUAUCCUGCGCCAUGAAUACAAAAAGACACUAAUAGCAUAUAACUAAAACAAAGUACUAACUAUUUAGAAAUCCUAGUUAUCAACUUUUAAUAAAGACCGCAAAAAUUGUAACAAAAGAUACCUCUAGUUCCCACUGUUAAAGAUGAAUUAUUGUUCCAAACUGGAGCACCGGAAUUUGUUGUCCAGUAAGAGGAAUUGAAAGCACUUGAAGGGCGGUGCUGCAACACAGAAAACAAAAUAAAUAAUCACAGAGAGCAGUUUUUUUAUGUGUGCUUUGAUCGAUCAGAGAUCAGAGGCUUGUGUUUUUAUUAGAAAAGCUACUAAUAAUAAGGUUAUGAAACUUGAAAAUGGAAAAUUGAAUAAAAUAAAAGAAAAUAAGGUAUUAAAUCAUUAAAAAUUAAAUUUUGGACUCGACCCUCAAUCGGGAAAGCAACAAAUUGAUGAGAAACCUAAACCUAUAUUCACAUGAGCUUAAAACAACAGCAGGAUCAUGUAAUAAGUAUCUUAUUUAACCGUUUGGAAGCCAAAAUUUCGUAUAUAAAAUUCAACAAUCUGUGAUUUUCAAUUUUCAUAUUUCCUCAACAACCUAACAAAAUGCAGGUAAAAUAUCAAAAACAUGUGGAAAACUUAAAAAAACUUAUGAUCAAAAGAUUCAAACAACAAAACACGAGAUGCAUCAUGCCUCAAUAAAAAAUUUAAAAAAAUCACGAAAUUAGAAAAAUCAAAACCGAGACAAUUUAAACAGAACGAAACGUUAUGAUUAAAUCAGAAUUAUGAGCAGGAAUUAGUUGUGAAAAAGUAGGAGAUAAAAUAAUUACCUGGUAUGGAUCCAUGGUAGGAUGAAGUUCAGAGAGAUUGAUUUGUUGAUGAGAAAGAUAAUAUUGAUUUGUGGCUAAUUUACAGUCCUUUCUUCUUCUUAUUUAUAAUUGAUUUUGUUUCGUCAUAGGAAUAAAAUAACAAAUUGAGUACUUUAACUUUGAUUUUAUCUUGGAUUUGUAUUAUCUAGGGUAAAUCUUUUUGAGUGAAGAGAUAAUUGUUUACCCAAUCAAAAUCUCGCCAUACGAUAUUUUAACUCAUCAGUAUACUUUAUUUCCCAUCUUGUUUUUUUAAGGAAUUUGUAAAUUGGCAUACCAACCAACUCUAAUACGACAACGUUCUUAAAAAUAAAAAAUAAAAAAAUAUAAAUAUAGAGUAAUAUCAUUUCAAAACCGUUAAUGGUUAUUUUUCAAGAAAUUUUUGGCCUAACCAAUUUAUUCCCCAACAAUACAAAUAUAUGAAAUUAAAAAAUACGCAUGUCUAAUUUUUAUGUAAAAAUGAUUAGUAUAAAAUUAACUUUGAUCAAUUGUUUAAUACAAUAUCAACACGUAAAAUGAGAGGUAAUCUAUGUGAGUGUCGACGUGUACGCAAGUGAUGGAUAUAGUCCACAUUGGACUGCUAAAUUAUGUUAAUGUUCAAAUUGUGGAGGCAUAUUCGUAUAAUGGUAGUUAUAAAUCACAUUUAACACGUUAAAAAAAAGGGAGAGACAAAAUAAGGAUCUCAAUUGUUGAUCUAUUGAUAAACAAAAAUUACUGAGAGUAAAGGUAAAAUAGCAAUAGAGUAUUUUUUAUUUUAUUUUUUGACAAAUAUUUAGGAAAUUAAUUGUGGGAUAAAUGGAAAGAAAUCGUCAUUAAACUACGCCAAAUUCCACAUCCACUUAUUUAACUUGUACGUACUAGGGCCUCUAUAAAACGGAGGACUCGUAUGCAAUUAAAUAAAUAAAAAUGCACACAUUAAUGUACAUAUAUUAUUAUUAAGUCCAGAACAGCAUCAAAGUGUAGAAGUCACAUGAAAGAAGACAGAUAUAAAUACAAGUUUGGUAAUAAAAAUCACUCAAAACAACUUAACAAACACAGAUAAACCGUACUACUUAUUCAACUUCAGAACAGCACCAAGUUUUGCCAAGUACGUACAAGUAUAUAUAACAUGACGACAGUGCCAUCCAUAUAUAUAUAUAUAUAUAUACUUCCCAACUACUCUUUGAUCUGGUUUUUAGCACAGAGUACGUAUCUCUCGACAUGCAGCAUCACGUUCAAAUGCUGGGCUUCACGUUGAGGCGAGACGCUAUUUUCUGACCUAGAGACUUGUCAGCCUACAUGGACCACAACAUUACCAUCAUACUAGUAUUAGAUUAUUUUCAUUAAUACUACCUACUCUUCACCUAAUUGUUCCCGCUAAUAAAAUCUUUUACUAUUAUAAUUCAUUCCUAGUUGAAAAGGGUUGGAAUCAGAUUUACCUGACUCCAGUAUGACACCCAUAUGCUGCGGAUCUCAUAGGUAAUACGCGGAUCCGAUAAACCAGUAACCACCCGAUUGAUAAAUCGCUCUUGCCUGGAACAAAUAAUUAACAAAACCAAUAAAGCCUAAGUAGUUAUUUUAUUAUGAAAAGGGAGCUGAUAUUUCAUUCCACAGUUAUACAUUUUCUUUAAAAAAUCCACUUUCGCACUGGAGUUGUUAAAUGAUCGCUGGAAAUAUCAUUCCAACAUUUAUAAAUGAAAUGGUACUUGCAUGCGUACCUGUCUGGCGCAAAAGUCCGGUAUCUGUCUCCUGCCUGCUUGAAGUUGUUCUCUUUGUCAAUUACAGACUGCAUUAACAACCAACAAGCUAUUAUCAUGUAUAUAUCUAGGUCAUCUAGCUAGCUAGCGUAAACAAAUUAUUGCAUAUUGCCUUCAUUUGUUAAAGAGAUAUCUAUCUAUUCUAUUACCAUUCAAACAAAAUUCUGUAUUUGAUUGAUCAACUCCACCUUUUUGGAAAUUAAAUUCUAUGCCAUUAAAGGAAUGCCAACAUAUAUUAUGAAAAACUCACCCUAGUUCGCCUUCCCAUCAACACGCGUGGAGGAAGGGGGUGCUUCUCAGCAUGGACCACAGGAUCAAACCUAGAAGGGAAGUAAUUGACCUGGAAGAGUGCACUUGUGUGAUUAAUAUAUAUGGAGAACACAAAAGCAUGCCUAAAGAAAUUAAUUAUCAAAAGUGGGCUAUUUAGAAAGCAAGAGAUCAUUAAGAAGCUUAAAAACUCUACUCUUUUUCACCUCCUCAUCCCUGUGCAAAAAAUUCAUUGAGCCUUCAUGGUGAUUGUUGUGAUGAGCGCACUUGGGAGCAUUAGCUGGAAGCAGCAAAUAGUUUGGUCCCAGACGGUGCCUCUGAGUAUCACCAUAAGCGAAUACCCGACCCUGGAGAAACUUAUCAUCCGAAUACCAGACACCAGGAACAACAUGAGCAGGGUUGAAAGCAAGCAUUUCAUUUUCUGCAAAAAAGUUAUCAAUAUUCCUAUUCAACACCAAGCGGCCCACUGGCUGCAGGGGAAAGAUGUCCUCAGGCCAGGUCUUGGUUACAUCGAGUGGGUCAAAGUCAAAUUUGUCCUCGUGAUCGGGGUCCAUAAUCUGGAUAAAAAGCUUCCACUCAGGAUAAUUGCCAGCUGCAAUUGAGUCAUAGAGAUCUUGGGUGGCAUGGCUGUGAUUAGAUCCUCCAAUUUUGAUGGCUUCUUCCUCCAACAAGUUUUUGACUCCGCAGGUAGGUCUCCAGUGAAACUUGACAUAGGUUGCUUUCCCAGCCUUGUUAAGAAGAGUGAAGGUGUGAACCCCGGAGCCAUCCAUGUGCCUGUAAUCUUGUGGAACACCUAUGUCAUCAUAGAAGAAUGUGAAGGUGUGCAAACUCUCUGGGUGGUGGGAUAAGUAGUCAAAGAUUCUCCAGUUCUCUUGAAUGUGAGACUUGGGAUUGGGUUUAAAAGCACGAAUCACGUCUGGGAAUUUCAUUGCAUCCCGGACAAAGAAGAUUGGGAAAUUGUUUCCCACCAGAUCAAA
rnacentral:lncRNA from 1 species